GAUGAAGAACGUAGCGAAAUGCGAUAAGUAGUGUGAAUUGCAGAAUUCAGUGAAUCAUCGAAUCUUUGAACGCACAUUGCGCCCCUUGGUAUCCCGAGGGGCAUGCCUGUUCGAGCGUCAUUUCACCACUCAAGCCUGGCUUGGUGUUGGGCGACGUCCUCUUUGGGGACGCGCCUCGAAACGCUCGGCGGCGUGGCACCGGCUUUAAGCGUAGCAGAAUCUUUCGCUUUGGAAGUCGGGGCCCCGUCUGCCGGAAGGCCUGCUCGCAAGGUUGACCUCGGAUCAGGCAGGGAUACCCGCUGAACUUAAGCAUAUCAAUAAGCGGAGGA
rnacentral:misc_RNA from 1 species